ensembl:lncRNA
GGACUGGCGGUCGUCUGUGCUGGGUCAACCGAAGGGUAGCUGCCUGGACAGGAGGAGGGACUGAGCUCAAUUUUAACCUCUAACUAGUUCAAGGGAGAGCAUGGAGGCUAGGAUCAGUUGGAUCUAUAAAAAUGUAGACCUGAUACUGGGAAAGACUGAAGGCAAAAGGAGAAGAGGGCGGCAGAGGAUGAAAUGGGUAGAUGGCAUCACAGACUCAAUGGACGUGAAUUUGAGGAAACUCUGGGAGAUACUGAAGGACAGGAAAGGUUGGCGUACUGCAGUCCAUGAGGUUGCAAAGAGUCAGAUAUGACUUAGUGAGUGAAAACAACAGCAAUUUUUAGUCUUUUUUUUUAAGUCUUUAUUGAAUUUAUUACAAUAUUGCUUCUGUUUUGUUUUGGGUUUUUUGAGGAGGUGGCUGUGAGGCAUGUGGGAUCUUAGCUCCCCAACCAGGGAUCGAACCCAUACCUCCUGCAUUGGAAGGCAAAGUUCUAACUGCUGGACUGCCAGGAAGUCCCCAGCUCUUCCUCAUUUCAAAGCCCUGUGGUUUCUGGGGAUGUGUGAGCACCCUAGAGCUGCUGUCUCCACUUGUGGUUUGUGCUUUUGUGCUUUCACCCCUGGGGCUAGAUGGUGGGAUUAGAGAUAGAUGAGAUAGUCCUGGCAAGGCUGGGAAGAUGCAGGCUCCUGUGGACUAGGUUGGAAAAAGGUAGUGACCUCAGGGGUCAGCACACAGGGAACAGAGAUAAUUUGGUCAAAUGUUCUACACUAGAGUACCACCUUUCAAGAUUCCUCUUCCUUGGGAAGUCCCUGGCCAUCCAGUGGUUAAGACUCUGUGCUUUCAGUGACGAGGCCCCAGGUCUGACCCUUGGUCUGGGAACUAAGAUCCCACAAGCUGGACAGCACAAAGGGCUGGGGGUGGGGAGGAAUGCUUCCUCCUUGAAGCCUUCCCUGACCGCUUCAUUCUCUUACUAAAGAGUUCUUGGGGCCUAAGAAGCUGCAGCUUAGCCUCAGUGAGCUGUGUUCCGUUUCUGCAUACAGUAGGGGCCGACCAUCUAGUGACCACGGAGUCUUUUUCAAAGAGCUUUCCCAUGUGUUAUCUCAUUUAAUCCUCCUAACAGCCCUGGGAAGGAAGGAUGAAAUGUGCCUAAUUCAAGGAGGCAUUUAUCUCAUGGAUCCUAUGUAACAGCCUCACCUAGUGAGUAGCAGAAAGGUUACAGAAACUUAUCCCAAUCAUUUUUUGUGUUUAUCCCAUUGAGGCUAAAGGCAGCGUAAAUGAGAGUUUGAGACAGAAUUUCCUAGGGAAAUGGCAUUGACAGACUCCAGGUAUUUGUGUCCUGGCUUCUAACUAAUUCAGGGUGGAGCUGCAGGAUCAGGGAAGCCAGCAUGUCACCAUCUGUAAAAUGGGAAUGAGAAUGCAUCCUUCAUCUAAUUAUUGUGAAGAGCCUUUCAAUCUUUCAUUUAAUAAAAAUUCAGAGCCUACCCUGUGCUAGGUACAGUGAUGGACAAGCCUAGCAAAGAAUUUGUCUUCAACAAGCUACUCUGUAUAAAAUAAACAGGCUACAAGGAUAUAUUAUACUCCACAGGGGAUAUAGCUAACAUUUUAUAAUAACUAUAAAGGGCAUAUAGUCUUUAAAAAUUGUGAAUUACUAUGUUGUACACCGAAAACUUACAUAUUAUUAUAAGUCAACUAUUACUACAGUAAGUUUUUAAUAAGUAUAAAAAUAAAAAGAACUUAUCUUCAUGGAGUUCAUGGUCUAGUGGAGAGAGAGAACAAUAAAUUGAAUGGGAAAUUAUCACCUGAUAGGAAAAAGCAGGUGAUGUGAUCCUGGCUGAGAUUACUGGGUGUCCUCUCAUUUUCAUUCUCUCUUUUUUUUUUUUUAACUGCAAGAUCUUGAUUCCCCAUCAAGGGAAUGAACUGGACAAUUCCACUCCUCCUUUUCCUGUGUAACUCUGGGCAGAUGGCUGGCUCCCUUGAAGCUCAGUGUAGCCAUGAGGUUAAGUCCUAACUAAAGGGAUGUAAGCAGAAGCUACCGCUGGGAAAUAUCCUUAAAGAAAAGGGCAUGUCUUCCAAUUGGUGAGAAUGCAGCAGUGAUAGCUGAAGCUCACACAGCCAUAUUGGACCAGGAGAAGGAAAACACCCUCUGAUAAUGCCGCAGAUGGAAGAUACCUGGGUAGGGUUCCUGAUCCGAUGGGGGACCAGCCUAGACCUCCUGCGCUGUGCUGUGCUGUCACUCAG